rnacentral:rRNA from 1 species
AUACGUAGGUGGCGAGCGUUGUCCGGAAUUAUUGGGCGUAAAGGGCGCGUAGGCGGAACUAUGAGUCCAUCUUAAAAGUGCGGGGCUUAACCCCGUGAGGGGAUGGAAACUAUAGUUCUUGAGUGCAGGAGAGGAAAGCGGAAUUCCCAGUGUAGCGGUGAAAUGCGUAGAGAUUGGGAGGAACACCAGUGGCGAAGGCGGCUUUCUGGACUGUGUCUGACGCUGAGGCGCGAAAGCCAGGGGAGUGAACGGGAUUAGAUACCCCGGUAAUCCUGGCCGUAAACGAUGGGUACUAGGUGUAGGGGGUAUCGACCCCUCCUGUGCCGGAGUUAACGCAAUAAGUACCCCGCCUGGGGAGUACGGCCGCAAGGUUGA